rnacentral:tRNA from 4 species
GCCCGAGUGGCGGAAUGGCAGACGCAGGGGACUCAAAAUCCCCCGGGGGCAACCCCGUGAGAGUUCGACUCUCUCCUCGGGCACCU